CCUACGGGAGGCAGCAGUGGGGAAUAUUGGACAAUGGGGGCAACCCUGAUCCAGCCAUGCCGCGUGUGUGAAGAAGGCCCUCGGGUUGUAAAGCACUUUCAGUGAGGAAGAACGCCUGGUGGUUAAUACCCAUCAGGAAAGACAUCACUCACAGAAGAAGCACCGGCUAACUCCGUGCCAGCAGCCGCGGUAAUACGGAGGGUGCGAGCGUUAAUCGGAAUUACUGGGCGUAAAGCGCGCGUAGGUGGCUUGGUAAGCCGGUUGUGAAAGCCCCGGGCUCAACCUGGGAACGGCAUCCGGAACUGUCAAGCUAGAGUGCAGGAGAGGAAGGUAGAAUUCCCGGUGUAGCGGUGAAAUGCGUAGAGAUCGGGAGGAAUACCAGUGGCGAAGGCGGCCUUCUGGACUGACACUGACACUGAGGUGCGAAAGCGUGGGUAGCAAACAGGAUUAGAUACCCUGGUAGUC
rnacentral:rRNA from 1 species